rnacentral:tRNA from 1 species
GGCGGAAUAGCUCAGCUGGCUAGAGCAAUCGGUUCAUACCCGAUAGGUCAUAGGUUCAAAUCCGAUUUCCGCUACCA